GUUGGUGAGGUAAUGGCUCACCAAGGCGACGAUCCGUAGCUGGUGUGAGAGGAUGAUCAGCCACAUCGGGACUGAGACACGGCCCGAACUCCUACGGGAGGCAGCAGUGGGGAAUAUUGGACAAUGGGCGAAAGCCUGAUCCAGCCAUGCCGCGUGUGUGAAGAAGGCCCUCGGGUUGUAAAGCACUUUCAGUGGGGAAGAAAGCCUCGGGAUUAAUACUUCCGAGGAAGGACAUCACCCACAGAAGAAGCACCGGCUAACUCCGUGCCAGCAGCCGCGGUAAUACGGAGGGUGCGAGCGUUAAUCGGAAUUACUGGGCGUAAAGCGCGCGUAGGCGGUCUGAUCAGCCGGUUGUGAAAGCCCCGGGCUCAACCUGGGAACGGCAUCCGGAACUGUCAGGCUAGAGUGCAGGAGAGGAAGGUAGAAUUCCCGGUGUAGCGGUGAAAUGCGUAGAGAUCGGGAGGAAUACCAGUGGCGAAGGCGGCCUUCUGGACUGACACUGACGAUGAGGUGGGAAAGCGUGGGUAGCAAACAGGAUUAGAUACCCUGGUAGUCCACGCCGUAAACGAUGUAGAAUAGCCGUUGGGGUCCUUGAGACCUUUGUGGCGCAGCAACGCGAUAAGUAGACC
rnacentral:rRNA from 1 species